rnacentral:rRNA from 1 species
CUACAGAGGGUGCGAGCGUUAAUCGGAGUUACUGGGCGUAAAGGGCGCGUAGGCGGAUGAUUAAGUCAGUUGUGAAAUCCCAGGGCUUAACCUUGGAACUGCAAUUGAUACUGAUUGACUAGAGUCGAAGAGAGGGAAGCGGAAUUUCCGGUGUAGCGGUGAAAUGCGUAGAUAUCGGAAGGAACACCCGUGGCGAAGGCGGCUUCCUGGCUUCAGACUGACGCUGAGGUGCGAAAGCGUGGGGAGCGAACAGGAUUAGAAACCCCAGUAGUCC